rnacentral:rRNA from 1 species
CAGCCGCCGCGGUAAUACCGGCGGCCCGAGUGGCGGUCACUAUUAUUGGGCUUAAAGCGUCCGUAGCCGGGUUGGGAAGGCCUCCGGGAAAUCUGGCCGCUUAACGGUCAGAAUGCCGGAGGAUACUCCCAGCCUAGGGAGCGGGAGAGGCCGAGGGUAUUCCCGGAGUAGGGGUGAAAUCCUAUAAUCCCGGGAGGACCACCGGUGGCGAAGGCGCUCGGCUGGAACGCGUCCGACGGUGAGGGACGAAGGCCAGGGGAGCAAACCGGAUUAGAUACCCGGGUAGUCCUGGCUGUAAACGAUGCGGACUUUGUGUCGGACAAGCUAUGAGCUUGUCCGGUGCCGGAGGGAAACCGUUAAGUCCGCCGCCUGGGGAGUACGGCCGCAAGGCUGAAACUUAAAGGAAUUGGCGGG